CAGUCGCCACGGGAAUACGAAGGGGGCUAGCGUUGUUCGGAAUUACUGGGCGUAAAGCGCACGUAGGCGGAUAUUUAAGUCAGGGGUGAAAUCCCGCAGCUCAACUGCGGAACUGCCUUUGAUACUGGGUAUCUUGAGUAUGGAAGAGGUUAGUGGAAUUGCGAGUGUAGAGGUGAAAUUCGUAGAUAUUCGCAGGAACACCAGUGGCGAAGGCGGCUAACUGGUCCAUAACUGACGCUGAGGUGCGAAAGCGUGGGGAGCAAACAGGAUUAGAUACCCCAGUAGUCCCUGUCUCUUAUAC
rnacentral:rRNA from 1 species